AGAACUUGAUUCAAACAGCUUUUCAAACAAAACACUGAAAUGGUGUGGCAUGGAUGCUUUGUCUGCUCAAACCGAUAACUAUGGAGAAACAGGUCUGAAUUCAUCCUUGAAUUGGGAAAAUGAAGCCUACAUGAGCUGGAGUACCUAUUGGGUAAACAAGCGAGGAACUUGUGUGGGCACAAGAACAAUGAAAGCUAUUGUAAGUCAAUAUUCAGCUUUUUGCCACAUACACAUUAAUGUUUGAUUCUUUUGCUAUUAUACAGCAAAUUUUAGAAAUACAUUGUAUAAAUAAAGCAAGAAAAAUCACAUAGAUGGUCCAAUCCAUAUUUGGAUCAAGAAUGGAAGUAAAAGAAUCUAUCUUUUGCUAGGUUAUAGACAUCCAUCGUCUGAUCACAACUAAUGUUCUCCUUCAAUCCUAGAAAAGAUAGCGGAUUUUCUAUACCGAACAAAAAGAAUGAACUAAUGGUGCAUCAGAAUGUAUGAGAACUGUAUCAUUUAUGAUCAUCAGAUUCAAAAUAAUAAGAACAACAAUAAGGCCGCAACUGGAUGCAUUGAUUCAAAAUAAUAAUUUCAAUUAUCUGAUUCACACACCUGGAAUAUCAUUAUUUCUGAAAUUUGCAUAAUCGAGCUGUUUGGAUAGUCCCCAGAAAUCGCAUUAUUACUCAUGAUUUACAAUUAACAUGUGUUUUAUUGCCCAUCAGGUGAAAAACAAAAUCAAAUAACGAACUAAAGCAAACCACCCAUGAAUAAGAAGAAUGGCGAGCAUCUUCCAUCAGUCUGCUACCUAUCAUGGACCAUUGGUUAUUGAAAGAAAUUAAAUCGUCACAAAACAGAAUGUUGCUUCAGGCCGAUUGGUAUAACCCAAUAGGAAGCCGAAAAAUUAAAGCCUGAUGUGCGCAUUACUGCAUGUAUCAAAAAGGAAAACACACACGAUGCAUACAAGCUUUUAUCAGAAAAGAAAAAACGAAAAGGUUGCAACUGUUAGCGUAAUCUCCACCCCAACAAUUCAACACAGAGGCAUUCCAACAACCAGAAGCUCUAAUCUUAUUUUCAAUUAUUUGGAAAUCUCGACCAAUUCAACACAAUUCAAAUAAAGUCGUUCCAAAUUCAACAGAAAAAGGCAGAUCUCAGAGAAAUAGUUAAUCAAGAAGAUUCUAAUCCAAAUUCACAUACAUCAUCCCCAAACAAACGCAUCAUUGAAGUCCCCGGAACGACCAGCAAUCAUCAUUGCGUACCCAAAACAGGCAGGCAGGAAACAAGAAACAGAACAAAUCGGCACCAUCAUCACACAGAGGCAGAAUAAGGAAAAAAA